CCCACCUCCGAACACGUCUCUUCAACGUGUAGCCAACAACAACUCCAGCAACAAAGAAAAUCGAACAAAGCUUUGAACAGGUCCACAGUGAAACCAUUUGUCUGGGAGGCCUAGUAAUCAAAGCCCGAGAUUGAUCAGAAGAAGAUAAAGCAGUAGUUACUCCUCCUUUUCCACUGAAACUGUAUGGAGUCUCGGACGAGGAAU
rnacentral:misc_RNA from 1 species